rnacentral:rRNA from 1 species
GUGUGGAAUUUUCCGCAAUGGGCGAAAGCCUGACGGAGCAAUGCCGCGUGAAGGAUGAAGGCCUAUGGGUUGUAAACUUCUUUUCUCAGAAAAGAAUUAUGACGGUAUCUGAGGAAUAAGCAUCGGCUAACUCUGUGCCAGCAGCCGCGGUAAGACAGAGGAUGCAAGCGUUAUCCGGAAUGAUUGGGCGUAAAGCGUCUGUAGGUUGUUUAAAAAGUAUUCUGUCAAAGAUUAGGGCUUAACCCUAGAUAGGCAGAAUAAACUUUUAAGCUAGAGUUUGGUAGAGGCAGAGGGAAUUCCCGGUGGAGCGGUGAAAUGCGUAGAUAUCGGGAGGAACACCAAAGGCGAAGGCACUCUGCUGGGCCAAUACUAACACUGAGAGACGAAAGCGAGGGGAGCAAAUGGGAUUAGAUACCCCAGUAGUCC